AUUGAACGCUGGCGGCAUGCCUUACACAUGCAAGUCGAACGGCAGCACGGGUGCUUGCACCUGGUGGCGAGUGGCGAACGGGUGAGUAAUACAUCGGAACAUGUCCUGUAGUGGGGGAUAGCCCGGCGCAAGCCGGAUUAAUACCGCAUACGAUCUACGGAUGAAAGCGGGGGACCUUCGGGCCUCGCGCUAUAGGGUUGGCCGAUGGCUGAUUAGCUAGUUGGUGGGGUAAAGGCCUACCAAGGCGACGAUCAGUAGCUGGUCUGAGAGGACGACCAGCCACACUGGGACUGAGACACGGCCCAGACUCCUACGGGAGGCAGCAGUGGGGAAUUUUGGACAAUGGGCGAAAGCCUGAUCCAGCAAUGCCGCGUGUGUGAAGAAGGCCUUCGGGUUGUAAAGCACUUUUGUCCGGAAAGAAAUCCUUGGCCCUAAUACGGGCGGGGGAUGACGGUACCGGAAGAAUAAGCACCGGCUAACUACGUG
rnacentral:rRNA from 1 species